rnacentral:tRNA from 1 species
GGCCGGCUGGCUCAAUGGUAGAGUGCUUGACUACGAUUUGACUGCGUUAUCAAGAGGUUGCAGGUUCGAGCCCUGCGUCGGUCA